rnacentral:rRNA from 1 species
UACAGAGGGUGCGAGCGUUUGUCCGGAAUCACUGGGCGUAAAGGGCGCGUAGGUGGUGACCUAAGCGUGCGGUGAAAGCCCGAGGCUCAACCUCGGGUCGGCCGUGCGAACUGGGUCACUGGAGCAGAAUAGAGGCAGGUGGAAUUCCGGGUGUAGCGGUGGAAUGCGUAGAGAUCCGGAAGAACACCGGUGGCGAAGGCGGCCUGCUGGGUUCUGGCUGACACUGAGGCGCGACAGCGUGGGGAGCAAACAGG